CCUACGGGAGGCUGCAGUGGGGAAUAUUGGACAAUGGGGGAAACCCUGAUCCAGCGACGCCGCGUGAGUGAAGAAGUAUUUCGGUACGUAAAGCUCUAUCAGCAGGAAAGAAAAUGACGGUACCUGACUAAGAAGCCCCGGCCAACUACGUGCCAGCAGCCGCGGCAAUACGUAGGGGGCAAGCGUGAUCCGGAUUUACGGGGUGUUAAGGGGGCGUAGACGGCAGCGCGAGUAUGGAGUGAAAUGCCGGGGUCCAACCCCAGAACUGGUGUGGAAACUGUGAAGCUGGAGUGCAGGAGAGGUAAGUGGAAUUCCUGGUGUAGCGGUGAAAUGCGUAGAUAUAAGGAGGAACACCGGCGGCGAAGGCGGCUUACUGGACUGUAACUGACGUUGAGGCUCGAAGGCGUGGGGAGCAAACAGGAUUAGAGACCCCUGUAGUC
rnacentral:rRNA from 1 species